AUUGAACGCUGGCGGCGUGCUUAACACAUGCAAGUCGAACGGUAAGGCCCUUCGGGGUACACGAGUGGCGAACGGGUGAGUAACACGUGGGUGAUCUGCCCUGCACUUCGGGAUAAGCCUGGGAAACUGGGUCUAAUACCGGAUAGGACUCCUGGCUCCAAGGUUGGGGGUGGAACGCUUUUGCGGUGUGGGAUGGGCCCGCGGCCUAUCAGCUUGUUGGUGGGGUAAUGGCCUACCAAGGCGACGACGGGUAGCCGGCCUGAGAGGGUGACCAGCCACACGGGGACUGGGAUGCGACCCGUACUCCUACGUGAGGCAGCAGUGGGAAAAUUUGCACAAUGGGGGCAAGCCAGGUGCAGCGACGCCGCGUGAGGGAUGACGGCCUUCGGGUUGUAAACCUCUUUCAGCACCGACAAAGCGCAAGUGACGGUAGGUGCAGAAGAAGGACCGGCCAACUACGUGCCAGCAGCCGCCGUAA
rnacentral:rRNA from 1 species